rnacentral:rRNA from 1 species
CAGUCGCCACGGUAAUACGUAGGUGGCAAGCGUUGUCCGGAAUUAUUGGGCGUAAAGGGCUCGCAGGCGGUUUCUUAAGUCUGAUGUGAAAGCCCCCGGCUCAGCCGGGGAGGGUCAUUGGAAACUGGGAAACUUGAGUGCAGAAGAGGAGAGUGGAAUUCCACGUGUAGCGGUGAAAUGCGUAGAGAUGUGGAGGAACACCAGUGGCGAAGGCGACUCUCUGGUCUGUAACUGACGCUGAGGAGCGAAAGCGUGGGGAGCGAACAGGAUUAGAUACCCCAGUAGUCCCUGUCUCUUAUAC